GUGCCAGCCGCCGCGGUAAUACGUAUGUCGCAAGCGUUAUCCGGAUUUAUUGGGCGUAAAGCGCGUCUAGGUGGUUUGGUAAGUCUGAUGUGAAAAUGCGGGGCUCAACUCCGUAUUGCGUUGGAAACUGCCUAACUAGAGUAUCGGAGAGGUGGGCGGAACUACAAGUGUAGAGGUGAAAUUCGUAGAUAUUUGUAGGAAUGCCGAUAGAGAAGUCAGCUCACUGGACGAAUACUGACACUGAAGCGCGAAAGCAUGGGGAGCAAACAGGAUUAGAUACCCUGGUAGUCCAUGCUGUAAACGAUGAUUACUAAGCGUCGGGGGUCGAACCUCGGCACUCAAGCUAACGCGAUAAGUAAUCCGCCUGGGGAGUACGUACGCAAGUAUGAAACUCAAAGGAAUUGACGG
rnacentral:rRNA from 1 species